rnacentral:rRNA from 1 species
UACGUAGGGUGCAAGCGUUGUCCGGAAUUAUUGGGCGUAAAGGGCUCGUAGGCGGUCCAUCACGUCGGGAGUGAAAAGCUGGGGCUUAACCCCAGUCCUGCUUCCGAUACGGGUGGACUAGAGGUAGGUAGGGGAGAACGGAAUUCCUGGUGUAGCGGUGAAAUGCGCAGAUAUCAGGAGGAACACCUAUUGCGAAGGCAGCUCGCUGGGACGUAACUGACGCUGAGGAGCGAAAGCAUGGGGAGCGAACAGG